UUGAACCUUCCUUUACAUCUCUCAGCUUCCAAACUCAUUUUCGCCAACCCUACUUCUUUCCCGCGCCGUUUAUCUACGUUUCUUGAAUUUCAAUUCGCGUCUUGAAGCCUUCGCGUCUCGAACGUUGUUCUUCACAUUUUCUGCAUUUCAAACAAGACGUGGAGUUCUCGCGCAAGGAGCAUGGCAAAGGAGGAGGUUUAGGUUCGGUUUUGGUAGAGAGGAAACUCAAGUUUCUGCGGCUAGGCGCGACCUCCAUCCUUACCGUGCGUGGUGGGUACCACGGCGGUGACGUCUUCACGGCGCGGGGAUGGGCUUCGCCAAAUAGGGGAGGUACAUGUUUCGACCAUGGUGUUUGUAUGCAAGAGGAACAAUUGAUCACUGGAACAUUAUGGUGAUCGAGCUUAAUUAAGACAAUAAAGAUUUUUAUCUCAACAUGAAACUUUGCUCUGUUAUCUUCACAUGAAAGGCUUCAGAGGAAUGAAUGGAUUUACUUUUAGAACAUAUUUCAAUUACAAUAUAUAGGAUUCGUACGUACUUCGUUUCUUUGGUAGCACCUUGAAUAAUAUUAAAGUCAAUAGUUCUAGACAGAUUUGUAUUAAUGUAAAGUUUCAAACUUACCCCUACUUAUGAUCUUGGUGUCAAAAGUUGCAUCCAUAAAGCUAUCUUCCCUUCUCUUUUACUUAAAUAUUUUUAAUU